rnacentral:rRNA from 1 species
AUGCUCCCGAAGCUGACGUACACGACGGUACUGGGCUCCUUGCCGUCGAGCCACCGGAGAGACUCGUCGGCGUCAGUGGCGGUGGUGGUGUUCCCUCUCUUUGCUAGUGUCGCGGCGUGCUGGUGGUACAGCGACACCGGCCCGAUGGUCCACACCUUCAUCUUCCUGGCGGCCGCGUAG